UACGGGGGGGGCAAGCGUUGUUCGGAAUUACUGGGCGUAAAGGGCUCGUAGGUUGCCAACUAAGUCAGACGUGAAAUCCCUCGGCUUAACCGGGGAACUGCGUCUGAUACUGGAUGGCUUGAGUUUGGGAGAGGGAUGCGGAAUUCCAGGUGUAGCGGUGAAAUGCGUAGAUAUCUGGAGGAACACCGGUGGCGAAGGCGGUUCUCUGGGAAUGUCCUGACGCUGAGGAGCGAAAGUGUGGGGAGCGAACAGG
rnacentral:rRNA from 1 species